UGGGGAAUUUUGGACAAUGGGCGAAAGCCUGAUCCAGCAAUGCCGCGUGUGUGAAGAAGGCCUUCGGGUUGUAAAGCACUUUUGUCCGGAAAGAAAUCCUUGGCUCUAAUACAGUCGGGGGAUGACGGUACCGGAAGAAUAAGCACCGGCUAACUACGUGCCAGCAGCCGCGGUAAUACGUAGGGUGCAAGCGUUAAUCGGAAUUACUGGGCGUAAAGCGUGCGCAGGCGGUUUGCUAAGACCGAUGUGAAAUCCCCGGGCUCAACCUGGGAACUGCAUUGGUGACUGGCAGGCUAGAGUAUGGCAGAGGGGGGUAGAGUUCCACGUGUAGCAGUGAAAUGCGUAGAGAUGUGGAGGAAUACCGAUGGCGAAGGCAGCCCCCUGGGCCAAUACUGACGCUCAUGCACGAAAGCGUGGGGGAGCAAACAGGAUUAGAUACCCUGGUAGUCCACGCCCUAAAACGAUGUCAACUAGUUGUUGGGGAUUCAUUUCCUUAGUAACGUAGCUAACGCGUGAAGUUGACCGCCUGGGGAGUACGGUCGCAAGAUUAAAACUUAAAUGAAUUGACGGGGUCAUA
rnacentral:rRNA from 1 species